UGACCACUUUUAGAGGAGGUUUUCGUAUUUACUCAGUUGAGAAGCCAAGGCUGCAAUUUGGGGGGGGAGGGCACUAGUGUGGAAGAGGAGGGGUUUCUGUAACUAUCCCUUUGAGGGGGAAGUAUAUGAAGAUAGUUGUUGUUACGCUUUUGCUUCCAUUUAGUAUUUCUGGAAUCAAGGUGCACAUCCUUUUGGUUUCAGUGGACCUCAUUUACGUAUAACAACUGUGAUUCAGAAGCAAUGCCUAGCUGACCUUGGGGACUCAUUUGCUUAUUAAACAAAGAAUUGCAGGCAUCCAUUACUGACAAUAGGAAUGCCUCCAGUUGCCACAAUGGGGAAAUCUCUAGGUUAUGGAUGCCUGUGAGAACUGGGUCUUUCCUCCCUUAAUCUAUCAGAUGUCAUCAUUCCUACAUGCACCUUCGUUCCCCGUGCCCCUGAGCUUUGUAGUCACAUUUGGAUGAGUAUUAAAACAGCAAGUGUUUAUUUUUAUACCAUGAAACUAAGAUUCUGUCCUGUAAUUUCUAUUAAGCUAUAAAAGUUUUUGUAUUUCACCCAUUCACAAAAAAAAUAUUGUUAUAUCAAUACACUGUCUGUAUAUAGAUAUAUAUUUUAGUUCUACAAAAUGGCAUUUAUGAGAUCACCUUUAUUCUGACUUUAGAUGAAAGCACUUUAUUUCAAAACGUGUGUGUUUGUGACCAAUAUGAUUUGUUUAUAUAUUGCUGGAAGGUUUAGUUUGGUUUGAAAGGGAUAACACGGUAUUCACUGUUGCCCUAUUUUAGGGAUCCAUCAUUAACUCAUUCAGUAAGGACCCAGAAAGCUUUGUCACCGUCCUUUUUCUGUGUGGUGUUUAUGUUUAUGUUUGGGGAGGGACAAUGGCUCAGUGGUAGAGCAUCUGCUUGGGAAGCAGAAGGUCCCAGGUUCAAUCCCUGGCGUCUCCAAAAAAGGGUCCAGGCAAGUAGGUGUGAAAACCUCAGCUUGAGACCCUAGAGAGCCGCUGCCAGUCUGAGAAGACAAUACUGACUUUGAUGGACCGAAGGUCUGAUUCAGUAUAAGGCAGCUUCAUAUGUUUUGAUUGUGAUGGGUGAAUCUCAGCAAAGGACAUUUGCGGAUAUUUGCUUGCAGAGUAUGAACGUCUAGCGAUGGGGGCUGCUGAGAAGAAUUGUGGUUCUGGGUCAGGUGGGAAUCGUUUUUUUCUGUGGCAUUUUUAGCAUUUCUGUUUCCAUGUGGAAAAGAGGGGACAGACUUUGGGGGGAGCUGCAGACCUUUUUGAUGCUUUCCAAAGAAGAAUGAAUGUUUAUAUGUGGUUCAGGAUGGGGGUUGGAAGGACUUGGGCAGAUUCUUCUCUGUAGCUGGUUCACCCAUCCCAACUGUUCCACUGUGUUCGGUCUUUCCCUUGUACAGUAUUUAUUGGUUGUGAUAGCUGAAGGAAUUGAGAGAAGUUGUGUUGGUGAAUGAGGCCUCACUCUUGAGGGAUGUAUGUGUGUGAAGUGCCAAAAGGGAAGCAAGAUUGCAGAUGUCUCUUAUGAAUAAACUCUAUUGUUAACACA